rnacentral:rRNA from 1 species
UACGUAGGGCGCAAGCGUUGUCCGGAAUUAUUGGGCGUAAAGAGCUCGUAGGUGGCGUGUCGCGUCUGCCGUGAAAGCCCAUGGCUUAACUGUGGGUCUGCGGUGGAUACGGGCAGGCUGGAGGCUGGUAGGGGCAAGCGGAAUUCCUGGUGUAGCGGUGAAAUGCGCAGAUAUCAGGAGGAACACCGGUGGCGAAGGCGGCUUGCUGGGCCAGUACUGACACUCAAGUGCGAAAGCGUGGGGAGCAAACAGG